AUUGAACGCUAACGGCGUGCUUAACACAUGCAAGUCGAGCGGCAGCAUGACUGUAGCAAUACAGUUGAUGGCGAGCGGCGGACGGGUGAGUAAUGCAUAGGAAUCUGCCUUGUAGUGGGGGAUAACCCGGGGAAACUCGGGCUAAUACCGCAUAAUCUCUACAGAGCAAAGUGGGGGACCUUCGGGCCCUACGCUAAAAGAUGAGCCUAUGUUGGAUUAGCUAGUUGGUAGGGUAAAGGCCUACCAAGGCAACGAUCCAUAGCUGGUCUGAGAGGAUGAGCAGCCACACUGGGACGGAGACACGGCCCAGACUCCUACGGGAGGCGGCAGUGGGGAAUAUUGGACAAUGGGCGAAAGCCUGAUCCAGCAACGCCGGGUGUGUGAAGAAGGCCUUCGGGUUGUAAAGCACUUUUAGUGGGGAAGAAAAGUUCAUGGCUAAUAUCCAUGAAUGCUGACGUUACCCACAGAAAAAGCACUGGCUAACUCUGUGCCAGCCGCCGCCGUAA
rnacentral:rRNA from 1 species